rnacentral:rRNA from 1 species
CCUCGCCCGAGUACCCAUUGGAGGGCAAGAUUGGUGCCAGCAGCCGCGGUAAUUCCAGCUCCAAUAGCGUAUAUUAAACUUGUUGCAGUUAAAAAGCUCGUAGUUGAAUCUCACGUCCCCCGCAGUGUUCUUCAAUUGGCGGACGCCUCGUUACUUUGAGAAAAUUAGAGUGUUUCAAGCAGGUUCGGCCUGUAUAAUUGAGCAUGGAAUAACCUUGUAUGACCCUGUCGUACCGUUGGUUGGCUUUGGGUAAUGGUUAAUAGGAACGGUUGGGGGCAUUCGUACUCGACUGUCAGAGGUGAAAUUCUUAGAUUGCUCGAUGACGCACGACUGCGAAAGCAUUUGCCAAGGACGCUUCCAUUAAUCAAGAACGAAAGUUAGGGGAUCGAAGACGAUCAGAUACCGUCGUAGUCCUAACCUUAAACCAUGCCGACU